rnacentral:rRNA from 12 species
GAAGGUGUGUUGAGAAGCAUGCUGGAGGUAUCAGAAGUGCGAAUGCUGACGUGAGUAACGACAAAACGGGUGAAAAACCCGUUCGCCGGAAGACCAAGGGUUCCAGUCCAACGUUAAUCGGGGCUGGGUGAGUCGACCCCUAAGGCGAGGCCGAGAGGCGUAGUCGAUGGGAAAUUGGUUAAUAUUCCAAUACUUCUGUGUAAUGCGAUGAGAGGACGGAGAAGGUUAAGUCAGCCUGGCGUUGGUUGUCCAGGUGGAAGGUUGUAGGCAUGUAUCUUAGGCAAAUCCGGGGUACUGUAUGCUGAGAACUGAUAGCAAGCUGUACUUGUACAGUGAAGUGGCUGAUACCAUGCUUCCAGGAAAAGUCUCUAA